ACUUUAAUUGAAGAGUUUGAUCAUGGCUCAGAUUGAACGCUGGCGGCAGGCCUAACACAUGCAAGUCGAGCGGUAACAGAAAAGAAGCUUGCUU
rnacentral:rRNA from 1 species